rnacentral:rRNA from 1 species
GACGAACGCUGGCGGCGUGCUUAACACAUGCAAGUCGAGCGGAAAUUCCUGCUUUCCCUUGUGGAUGGCGGGUACUCGAGUGGCGAACGGCUUAGGAACACGUGAGUGAUCUGCCCCCAACGUGUGAAUAAGCCUGGGAAACUGGGGCUAAUUCCCGAUAGGACGGCAGUGUGGUGCCUGUGGUGGAAAACGAUUUUCUAGUGGUGGGGGAUGAGCUCGCGGCCUAUAAGCUGGUUGGUGGGGUAAUGGCCUACCAAGGCGGUGACGGGUAGCCGGCGUGAGGAGCUGUAGGGGGACAUUGAGAAUGAGCUACGACCCAGAGUCCUACGGGCGGCAGCAGUGGCGACUAGUGGACAAUGGGCGGAAGACUGAUGAAGCGACGCAGGGUGGGGGAUGACGGGCCUCGGGUUGUAAAAUCCUUUCGACGGCGAGGAACCCACCUGGUUGGGAGGGUGGUGACGGUAGUGGUAGAAGAAGCACCGGCUAACUACGUG